GGUAAAAUGGCUGAGAUUAGGCGCUAAAUUGUAAAUUUAGUUACGAAUUUAAAUUCUUUUAUCA
rnacentral:tRNA from 1 species